rnacentral:rRNA from 1 species
UACGGAGGGUGCAAGCGUUAAUCGGAAUUACUGGGCGUAAAGGGCGCGUAGGCGGCCUGUUAAGUCGAACGUGAAAUCCCCGGGCUCAACCCGGGAACUGCGUCCGAUACUGGCAGGCUUGAAUCCGGGAGAGGGAUGCGGAAUUCCAGGUGUAGCGGUGAAAUGCGUAGAUAUCUGGAGGAACACCGGUGGCGAAGGCGGCAUCCUGGACCGGCAUUGACGCUGAGGCGCGAAAGCUAGGGGAGCAAACGGG